ensembl:lncRNA
UUUUUUUUUUUUUUUUUUUUCUUUUUGGGGCCAAACCUGUGGCAUAUGAAAGUUCCUAGGUUAGGGAUAGAAUCAGAGCUGCAGCUGCCAGCCUACACCACAACCACAGCAAUCAGGGAUCCAAGCCACAUUUGUGACCUACACCAUAGCUCAUGGGCCUUAGCUGGAUUCUUAGCCCACUAAGCAAGGCCAGGGUUUGAACCCGCAUCCUCAUGGAAAUGAGUCAGAUUCAUAACCUACUAGGCCACAACAGGAACUUUAUCAAUAUAUUUUCAAUGUAAAUGAAACACCCUUCUAUUGGAAGAAGAUGUCAUAUAGGACCUUCAUAGCCAGAGAGGAAAAGUCAACCCUUGGCUUUAAAGCUUCAAAGGACUCUUUUGUUAGGGGAUAAUGCAGCUAGUCACUCAAAGUGGAAUUUCAUGGAUCAUUUCAAAAAUUCUGGAGCCCAUAAGAAUUAUGCUACAUCUACUCUACCUGUGCUCUAUAAAUGGAACAAAGCCUGGGUGAAAGCACAUCUGUUGACAACAGGGUUUACUCAAUAUUUUGUGCCCACUGUUGAGGCCCACCACUCAAAAAUAAAGAUCCCUUUCAAAAUAUGACUGCUCACUGACAUCUAGUCACCCAAGAACUCUAGCGGAAGUGUACAAGGAGAUUUAUGGUGUUUUCGUGCCUGCCAGUACAUCUGCAGCCCAUGGAUCAAGAAGUAAUUUUGUCCCUCAAGUCUUACUAUUUAAGAACAUUUGGUAAGGCUAUAGAUAGCGGCUCCUCUGAGGGAGCUGGGCCAAGUCAACUGAAAACUUCCUGGAAAGGAUUCACCAUUCUAUGCCAUUAGGGACACUUGCAAUUCAUAGGAAACAUCAAAAUAACAACACUAACAGGGGUUUGGAAGAAGUUGCUUCCCACCUCCAGAAUGAUUUUGAGGGGUUCAAGACUCCAGCAGAGGAAGUAACUGCAGAUGUGGUGAAAAGAGUAAGAGAGCUAGGAUUAGAAGUGGAGCCUGAAGAGGUGACUGAAUUGCUGCAAUCUCAUGAAGAAACUUGAACAGAUGAGGAGUUGUUUCCUAUGGAUGAGCAAAGAGAGUGGUUUCUUGAGAUGGAUUCUAGUUCUGGUAGAAGUAGAUCUUGAGAAAGAACAUGCUCUGAAAAUUGUUGAAAUGACAAUAUAGGAUUUAGAAUAUUAUGCAAACUUAGUUUAGAGGCAGGGGUUUGAGAGGAUUCACUCCAAUUUUUUUAAAAUGUAAUCUUAUUGGCAUAUAGUUGACUUACAAUGUUGUAUUAGUUUCAGAUGUACAGCAAAGUGAACCAGUCAUACAUAUAAACACAGCCAUUCUUUUUUUCCCAUAUAGGUUAUUACAAACAAUUGAGUAGAUUUUCCUGUGCUAUACACCUAGUUUAUAUGGUAGUGUGUAAAUAUUAUUCUCACCCUCCCAAUUCUUUCCUCCCCCUAGUAUUGACUCCACUUUUGAAAAAGUUCUAUACUGUGAGUAAUGAAGGGUCAUAUGAUUAUUAGCACUUUUUAGCAAUACAGUAAAUUUAUUUGUGGCCACACUUGCAGCAUGGGAAGUUCCUGGGACAGGGACAAAAUCUGAGACAUAGCUGCAACCUAUGCUGCAGCUGCAGCAGCAUCGGAUCCUUUAACCCACUGCACCAGACUGGGUAUCCAACUCAUGCCUCUGCAGUGACCAGAGCUGCUGGAGUUGGAUUUUUAACCCAUUACACCACGGUGGGAAUUCCAAUACAGUAUCCUUAUUUUUAUUUUUUUCUUUUUAUGGCCACACCUGUGGCAUAUGGAAGUUCCCAGGGCUAGGGGUCAAAUCAGAGCUACAAUUAAGGCCUACACCACAGCCACAGCAACGCCGAAUCUGAGCUGCAUCUGUGACCUACCCUGCAGCUUGCCCCAACAACACAUCCUUAACCCACUGAGCAAGGCCAGAGAUCAAAUCCACAUGGAUACUAUGUCAGGGUCUUAACCCAGUGAGCCACAGUAGGAAGUCCCAAUAUAGUACCUUUAAAUUAAUACCUUUAAAUUAAGGUAUGUACCUUGUUUUUUAGACAUAAUGUUACUGCACACAUAAUAGGCUACAGUAUAGUGUAAAUGUAACUUUUAUAUUUUCUUGGGAAUCAAAAAAUUAAUUUGAUUCACUUUAUUUUGAUAUUCUUUUCAUUGUGGUGAUCUGGAACCAAACCUGUAAUCUCUUAGAUAUACUUGUAUUUUUUGCUUCAGGGUAGAAAAGGCUUAAAAGUGAUAAAAUAAGAAGGAAAAAUGAGACUACUGACAAAAAAUUAAGUAGAGGAAUUUACACCAUACUCCAAGAGUCCUAAUAGGCACUGGAAACUUGCAUUUAUCCUUAUCUUUGGUUAGAAGACCACCAAAUCUGGUUCUGGGGGUUAAAAAGAAAGUCAGCAGUGCAAAGGAAAUUGCCACGAAAAUAGAAAAUGCUGCUAUAAACAUUACCUUUAACACUAGCCAAGUAUGUCUCUGUCUCCUACAAUAAAGGAACACAAAUGAAAAUAAUUUGUGAUUUAAAUUAUCCUCAGGAAUGGUGUGUGGCUAUAAAAUGCACUAUGAAAAUCAUCUCUUCAUUCAAGAACUCAGCACAGCUGCUCCAAUAAGGAGGCUGUGUAUGUUCUGAAGCUAAAUGAACUUGUGUUCUAAGACUCCGCCUUUAGAAGUAACAGCUCUGAAAGCUAUGAGCAAAAAAAUUCAAGGAUGAUUAUAGCAAAUGGCUUCAAAAAGAAAUAUCUAGUAUGUUGGCAAGUGCCCUUUAAGAGGCAGGACUUGAAUUCUCUUGAAACGAAAUCACCAAUCAUUCUUUUGGCCUGCUGCUUACAAAAGUAGAGAAAACAUAGGUUUUCUGAGCUACAGCUGCAGAUUAAAAAAUUAGUAGCAUUAGAUUUUGCUUUAGUAAUGUAAGACACCCCAAAGAGUGCAGAAGGAAUUAGCUAAGGGUGUUUAGAGAUAUGAAAGAAGAUAAUGGUAGAAAAAGCCACUUCAAAUAUCUCCAGACUUGAAUUUCAAGCCAAGGUUUCUUUCAAAUCAUAUCUGUCUGCUUCACCCUAGUCACCACCCCAGGCCUUCCCUCCUUGCCACCUGUGCCUACCCUCCACCCCCACUUUCUUAAUAGUAGUAAUAUGCCCAAGGCUUUAAAAUAACACAGAGGUAUGUAAAAUAAAAUGUUAAAUAUCUUCUAACUGCAGAGUUCCCCUUGUGGUUCAGCAGAUUAAGAAGUGGACACAGUGUCCAUGAGGAUGCAAGUUUGAUCCCUGGCCUCAAUCAGUGGGGUAAGGAUCUGGCAUUGUUGCAAACUGCAGCAAAGGUUUUAGAUGUGGCUUGGAUCCCAGGUUGCUGCAGGCCGGCAGUUGCAAGUCUGAUUCAAUUUGACCCCUAGCCUGGGAACCUCCAUAUGGCGCAGAUACAGCCCUAAAAAAAUAAAUAAAUAAAUAAAUAAAUAAAUAAAUAAAUAAAAACUUCUAUUCAAUCCUAUUCCAAAUCUCUAGAAUUUUUUUCAAUCACUGUCUAGCUUUUAAAAGGUUAAAGAAACACCCUCUCCAAUGUGUAGUAAGUCUGUUUCUCUGGCCUCAAAUUUUCUACUAGGGCCAAUUAUGUAAGCUAGAAAACAGGAGAGAGAGAAUCAAAAGAAAGAAACUCUACUCCUCACUUCUUCCCAACCAUUUCUGUGCCUUUGCACAAAACACAUCCCUCCCUGGAGUGCAGGGAAACUGUCUGGAAAGUGAGGGAGGUGAAAACACUGAUUCUUAGUUCACUUUGAAUUCAAACCUUCUGUAUCAGUGCUGCCUAACAGAAACAUAAGUGAGCUACAAAUGUGAGCCACAUUAGUAAUUUAAAAUUUUUGAACAACCACAUUUAAAAAAAUAAAAAGAGGAGUUCCCACUGUGGCACAACAGGAUCACUGGUGUCUCUGCAGUGCCAGGACAGGUUCAACCUCCGGUCCAGCACAGUGGGUUAAAAGAUCCAGCAUUGCCGCUGCUGUGGUGUAGGUUGCAACUGUGGCUCAGCUCUGAUCCCUGGCCCAGUAACUCCCAUAUGCCUUGGGGUGGCCAGAAAAGAAAAUAAUAUAAAAUAAAAUUAAAAUAAAAAAUAAAAAGAAACAGGCGAAGGUAAUUUUAAUCCUUUUUUCACCCCAAUAUAGUCAAAAUAUUAUCAUUUCAACAUAUAAUCAAAAUUAAAACAUUAAUUUUUAACAGUAAUAUUAACAGUUUACAUUCUACUUUUCAAACUAAGUCUUCAAAAUUUAGUGGGUAUUUGACAAAGGACAUCUCAGUUCAAACUACCUACACUUCAGGUGUUCAGGAGUCACUCAUAGAAAAUUGCUACUGUUUUUAGCAUUCCAAUUUUAUAUCUGCGCUGGACAUUAUUGCAGGAAAAGUUCUAUUUUGGCAAGUGGCUCAUUUCUGCAUCUCUACACUUGACUGCAUCUGUUGCCAACAAAACAUUAUGACUG